AUUGAACGCUGGCGGCAGGCCUAACACAUGCAAGUCGAGCGAGCGGCGGACGGGUGAGUAAUGUAUGGGGACUGCCCGAUAGAGGGGGAUAACUACUGGAAACGGUAGCUAAUACCGCAUACUAUCGGAUAACCCAUAUGGGAUUAGCUAGUAGGUGAGGUAAUGGCUCACCUAGGCGACGAUCCCUAGCUGGUCUGAGAGGAUGAUCAGCCACAAGGGGACUGAGAAACGGCCUAGACUCCUACGGAGGAAGCAGUGGGGAAGAUUGCACAAUGGGCGCAAGCAUGAUGCAUCACUGCCGCGUGUAUGAAGAAGGUCCUAGGAUUGUAAAGUACGUUCAGUCGGGAGGCGUUACCGACAGAAGAAGCACCGGCUAACUCCGUGCCAGCAGCCGCGGUAAUUC
rnacentral:rRNA from 1 species